ensembl:snRNA
GUGUUGUAUGAAAGGAGAGAAGGUUAGCACUCCCCUUGAUAAGGAUGGAAGAGGCCCUCGUGGCCUAUAAAACAUGCAUACGGUUAAGGCACUGCCACCUACUUUGUGGCAUCUAACCAUGUUAC